rnacentral:lncRNA from 1 species
AUUUGACAAAGUUUAUGGGGCUGGAAAUCAAACUUUUAAUUUAUUAUUAUCAAUUUCUUUUAAUUUGUACAUAUAGUCUAUCUAGGAGGUAAACCAUGACAAAACUUAUUGAACAAGAAAUCAAAUAAUUUGAAGGUUAUAUGUAAGGGUGAUAAUAGACCAAAUCGACAGUUGUUUGCGACCUAUCAUACGACAUGUCUAGCCUAGGGAAAGUCUAUCAUUGUGACUUCUUCCCACAACCUCAAUAUCAAGGGAGUCUGCUCACAAAAGUUCAUUGUAAUAAAAAAGCAAGAAGUAAAGAAACAAAACUGUAUUGAAACUGCAAAUAAGACACAAGAGUUUCUAUGUGUAAUGGAUGAUGAGAAAAGUUUAGAUUACAAGCAAAUAUAUAGACAUUAAGCCACAAAUUUGUGUGUUAGGAGUAAGUGUUGUUAAUUACAAGAAACUAUUGGAAUCCGCAAAGUAUAACUCCCAAAUUAUCUUUAGACUAUGGUCGUAAUGUGGCAUUACAUGCACAUGCAAUGUUUUAUGUCUUGUAUUCUUUUGAAAUUUUUUUUUUAUUUUAAAUAAUUCUAUUUUUUCUAUGCAAGUUUUCUGACGAGAAAACUCAAAAUUAAGAAGGCCAAACAUAAAAUAGAAUUAUUAUUAAUAAAGGCCCCACAUAAAAUGAAUACUGAUUGGGGAUAGCUCAAUAAGUUGAGCUAAAGGUUUACAAAGUUAAGAAGUUAAAAGAUAGGGAUUAAGUUUCGGAUAAAUAAUACUUCUUCAGUUUCUUUUUAAGUGUCGUUUUAGGGUGAAUUUUUUGUUCCUAUUUAACUGUCGUUUUGGUAUUUUAAAGUACGAUUUGUCAAUUAUACCAUUUGUCAGUUACUCGUAUCUUUUUCUUUGUUUGAUUACUCUUAUCUUUUUUAAUAAAACUAAUUAAUGCUA